GUGGGUAUAGUUCAGUGGUAGAGCAUGCACAAGGUCCUGGGUUCAAUUCCCAGUACCUCUA
rnacentral:tRNA from 1 species